rnacentral:rRNA from 1 species
CCUACGGGAGACAGCAGUGGGGAAUAUUGCACAAUGGGGGAAACCCUGAUGCAGCGACGCCGCGUGAAGGAAGAAGUAUUUCUGUAUGUAAACUUCUAUCAGCAGGGAAGAAAAUUACGGUACCUGACUACGAAGCCCCGGCGAACUACGUGCCAGCCGCCGCGGUAAUACGGAGGGGGCAAGCGUUAUCCGGAUUUACUGGGUGUAAAGGGAGCGUAGGCGGUUUAGCAAGUCAGAAGUGAAAGCCCGGGGCUCAACUCCGGGACUGCGUUUGAAACUGUUGAACUAGAUUGCAGGAGAGGUAAGUGGAAUUCCUAGUGGAGCGGUGAAAUGCGUAGAUAUUAGGAGGAACACCAGUGGCGAAGGCGGCUUACUGGACUGUAAAUGACGCUGAGGCUCGAAAGCGUGGGGAGCAAACAGGAUUAGAUACCCCUGUAGUC